GACUCCGUGAAGCUGGAUUCGCUAGUAAUCGCGCAUCAGCCAUGGCGCGGUGAAUACGUUCCCGGGCCUUGUACACACCGCCCGUCAAGCCAUGGGAGCCAGGGGUGCUUGAAGUGCGUCGCCGCAAGGCGCGCCCUAGAGCAAAACCGGUGACUGGGGCUAAGUCGUAACAAGGUAAC
rnacentral:rRNA from 1 species